ACAUUGCAGCAGCAGCAGCAGGGCCAGCAGUUCUGAGGAGGAGGAGAGGUUCUCCUCAGGGAAAUAGGGGGCUUCACGCCCCACAUUGCAGCAGCAGGGCCAGCAGUUCUGAGGAGGAGGAGAGGUUCUCCUCAGGGAAAUAGGGGGCUUCACGCCCCACAUUGCAGCAGCAGGGCCAGCAGUUCUGAGGAGGAGGAGAGGUUCUCCUCAGGGAAAUAGGGGGCUUCACGCCCCACAUUGCAGCAGCAGGGCCAGCAGUUCUGAGGAGGAGGAGAGGUUCUCCUCAGGGAAAUAGGGGGCUUCACGCCCCACAUUGCAGCAGCAGGGCCAGCAGUUCUGAGGAGGAGGAGAGGUUCUCCUCAGGGAAAUAGGGGGCUUCACGCCCCACAUUGCAGCAGCAGGGCCAGCAGUUCUGAGGAGGAGGAGAGGUUCUCCUCAGGGAAAUAGGGGGCUUCACGCCCCACAUUGCAGCAGCAGGGCCAGCAGUUCUGAGGAGGAGGAGAGGUUCUCCUCAGGGAAAUAGGGGGCUUCACGCCCCACAUUGCAGCAGCAGGGCCAGCAGUUCUGAGGAGGAGGAGAGGUUCUCCUCAGGGAAAUAGGGGGCUUCACGCCCCACAUUGCAGCAGCAGGGCCAGCAGUUCUGAGGAGGAGGAGAGGUUCUCCUCAGGGAAAUAGGGGGCUUCAUGCCCCACACUGCUACUACUCGGCUGCUGAGGAAGACUAACUACAAGCCUCUAAGGGGCAGCAGCCGCUUUCCUUCCAUCCCGCGGAGAAAUGCUCUGAGGGAAGGCUGUCUCCACAGGGCAAGGAAGGGCUCCAUGCCCGGCAGUGGCUUUCACCUCAGCAUUUUAAUGAGAAUAAUUAAUAAACAGUCAUGGAGGAAAAGCUGUCUCUAAGCUUGCUUCUAAUCCUCUGGGGGAAGGGCUCUGUGCCCACGUUUAGCUCACAGGCAAAAAUUUUCUGAGGGGAGGCUGUCUCCAGGACAGAGCAAGGAAGGGCUCUAUGCCCAGCCUGGGCUUUUACGUCACCAAAAUAAGGAUAAUAAAUCUCUGUUGCUUCAGAAAAAGGAGGAGGAAACCACUCAAGCCAUGCUACUCAGCCAGGAUAUGGCUUUUUAAAAGAAUACUUUGUGGGAGAGUGGUGGGAACAUGGUCUUCAAGACCCCUGCCAAAAACCAGUUUCUGAGGGGAAGUGAAGUUUCUGAGUGGGGAGUUCAUCUCUCUGCUUUGGCUUCAUCUUGCCAAAAGAACUCAAACCCCUUUGGAGGAUGCUGCAGCCGUGCUGACGUGUGCAAAAGCCCGGCCACCUCACUGCCCACAUUUGUAGCAUUUGUCUGCAGAGGGCAACACGCGACAGAUUCUCCCCGUCCUCAGAACACUGGGGCGCCACAGUCUUCUGCAUCACGGUGAAAAUCUGUCCACUCUUAGAGCGUUCUUUCUCUGUGCAGACAAAUGCUAGAACUAUGGACCGCGUAGGGCAGGACUUCUGAGCGCAACAGCACAGGGGCUGUAGCAGGAAAUUCCCUGAGGCCAGGGGCUGCUGUGCAACUACAGACUGGCCCUUUUAGUCUGAGAAAACUUGGUGCGACCUGAGGCUCCUUUAUUCUCCCGACAGCUGUGUAUGGCAGCAUAAUUCCUAAGAGAGUGGCUGGCUUGAAUGGAACACCCUCCCUGCGCAUUAAAAGGCUUAGGCUUCUAGAUACUCGGAACACUUUUCUGAGGCAGCAUAAGCUCUAAUUUUCAGGCAGGCUUGUAUGGAACAUGCUUCAGGCUUCUUAAUUCUCUCAAGAGAAGAGAGGGUUCUCUUUAUAUUCUCUCAAAUUCUUUUUAAUGAGUUAUAUCUUUUCAUAUUUGUGAACCGCCUAGAGCUAACUGGAUAAGGGGGUAUAGACACUUAAUGAAAGAAUGAAUAAAUAAAACAGCCAUGGGAGGCAGCAUAAUCUCUAAGAUGGGGGCUGGCUUGUAUGCAUGAUAGAAGCACCAGAUUGCUUUAUAACUGCCAACUUUAUAGGGAAAGAUACACUGCAAUUUAGCACCUAUCUUUAACUGAACAUUUUUAAUGUGUGUUCUAUCCCCACAACAUCGCUUGGAGGACAAUUUAGCAAGAAAAAACGGAGUCGGUGCAUGUGUCCCUACGAUGCCCAGGCCGGAGUGCUGCUCUUGGAGAAUUUGUUCCUCCCAAGAGGCCAAGGUGGCAGAUUUCAAGAAACAACCAAUGGAGGCGACAUCACAGAAGCCAAGAAGACAUGAAAGAGCAAACGACACAGACACACAGGAUUUCAAGAAACAACCAACAGGCAACGUCACGGAAUCCAAGAAGACGUGAAAGGAGCCAGCGACACAGACACACAGGGCAAGCCAAACCAAUCCACAACCCAGGGGCUGCGUAGAAGCUUGAGGCUUCUCUCUUGUCCCAAACAUCAUCAUCAUCAUGCACUUUAUUUGUGAGCCACCCCAUAACAAAUAGUCCUCUGGGCGGCUCACAACACAACAUUGAAAAAUCUCCAAUAAGAGCACAUACAACACGACAAACACAUCACAACACAAAACAGCAGCAUCUCUAAAAUGGUGGCUGCCUUGAAUGGAAGAGGCUUCAUGCCUCUUCAAGGAGCUUGGGGGAAUUGCCAAGAACAGACACAAUACCAUGUACAGGUUGUAUUCUGCCAUUUAGAGAACACGCUUCUCGCGUGUUGGGAGCUUCAAGCUUCUUUAGUCCCGCAACUCUUUUCUUGGGCUACAUACACUCUAAGAUGGUGGCUGCCUUGAAUGGAAGAGGCUUUAUGCCUCUUCCAUUGUGUUCCCUUGACAACCCUGCGUGGCAAACCGGGCCAGAAGAAACACAUGUCUGCGCAUGUGUCCCUACGACCUCCAGGCAGCUCUUGGAGCAUUUUCUCCUACCAAGGGGCCAAUGUGGCAGAAUUCACAAAAGGCGGCAACUACACACAAGCCAAGGAAGGAGGAAAAGAGUCUCUUGGAAGAACCAAGAGGCAGCGACACACAAGCCACAAAGGAAUUAAAAGAGCCGACAACGAUGCACAAGAUAGCCAAAGCAAGGGCUGUGUUCCUCACCGCCCUGAAUGCUCUGUCAAUCCAGGGGCCAUCAGUAGAAACUUCAGGCUGCUUUGUUCUCUCACCACCUGUGGAAGGCAGCAUGAUCUCUCAUUCUGUGGCUGACUGGAAUGAAACACGCUUCAUGUAUGUUACAAGCUUCAUGUAAUAAUAAUUCUCCCAACAGCCUUGUCAAGCUGGAUAUCCUCUAAGAUGGAGACUGCCUUUAACAGGACACACUUCAUGUGUGCUGCAUGCUCAGCAGCCCUUUGUGGCAUGUUUGGAAAGAAGAAACAGAGUUGGCACACAUUUGCAAUGACCUCCAUGCCGGAGUGGUGAUUUUGGAAUGUUUUCUCCUCCCAAGAGGCCUGUGUGGGAGGCAGGAUCAAAGACAGGGACUGGACCAAGGUAAAGGGAUCCCACCCCUGUCAAAAAUAGAACUCCCAGGGUGGUGUAAGAGACAAUCGAAGAGGAACAAGACUAAUGCCUGCUAUGAUGAGGCUCUUCAGCAGAGCACUGAAGAAUCCAUACCAAAUAAGUAUUGUUAUGGCUGACAAGCAGACUAGGUUUCUCAGUAGUUAUCCCUCAAUGGUUACUCUAAAGGAGGACUCAAUUUCAAUAGGGGUUGCAUUGGGUAAUUUGGCCAGGAUGUCAGCCGGUAUUCAUUAUGCAUUGAUUUUUGCAAGAUGAGCUGAAACAACUGUGAAACUAGUUACCAAGAAAUCGAAGAAUUCAUCCUUAGUGAACUUCUCAUAUUCUAACAGAAGAAUGUGGUAUUGCUCACACGUUAAAAUCAAUGACAUGCCUUUUUCUCUUCCAGUGGGUUUCAAGAAAGAGCACAAGGAAUGAGGAGGACACAGAAGACAAGACAAGCUGACCUGAUCAAUCUUGUGACAAGGAGGCGCAUUGUCCGAGAAUUGAAGAACUAUUCAACAUAGUUAUUCAGUUUUGUUCAUUAUAGUUCUUCAAUUUUAUUCAAAAUAUAAAUAUGUGUAAAUAUUGAGCAUACAUAUUUAUUUCACACUGAUCGUCACAAGAGAAUGUAAAAGUGAAACUGUGAAAAGUAUAUUCACCAAGUCUUGCUCACACUUCAAAUAAAUGACUUGACUUGUUCUUUCCCAUCAGAUUUCAGGAAAGACCUGAAGGAGCAAAGAGAGUGAGGACAAGACAAGUUGUCCCAAUCUCUUUCGUGAUGAGGCUUCAUCAGAGAACUGAAGAACAUAUACAAAAUAUAAAGAUGUAUACAAAUACUGAGCAUACUUAUUUAUUACAUACCGAUUGUCACAGGAGAAUAUAAAAAUGAAACUCUGAAAAUGUAUUACUCAGGAAAUCUAAGGUGUCUUCCUUCAUAAAUGUCUCAUACUCUAAUAUCACGUGGAUCUGCUCACACUUCAAAUAAAUUAUGUAACUUGUUCUUUCCCAAAAGAUUUCAAAAACAGAUCAGUGGAGGUGACAAGAGACAAGCCAUGCCAAGCAAAACUGCAUUACCCUUUUAGGUCUUGUUUUCAGAAGAUUAGUCUCAAAACCAGUGGCUGGCUGCUGCAAAUAGAGGCAUCAAGCGUGAGCUGAUUUUAUCCUUGGCCCUGUGAGGUAAGUUAGCCUGGAAUAUUCUGUGCUGGCUUCAAGGGUUCAUGCCUAAAAAAUAAGAAUACGUUUGUUUAAAUUGUUUGUAUCCUGCCUAUUCAAGAGCCUUAAACAACCAUCUCUUCAGCCUGGCUUUUAAUGAUAUCUUGUUUUAAUCUUAAUUUUAAUUAGAUUUAAUCUGGUUUAAAUAUUUCUUGAUUUUAAUUGUUUUAUUCUGUGUUUUUUUAUUUCAAUGUAAACCAGCCUGAGCCAAUGAAUGAAUGAAUGAAUGAAAUAAUAAAUAUUCAACAAAAUGCUAUUCAGGGCCGCUUGCCCUCUCUUAAAUGAAAACAACAACCACCCCCUACUAAAUGCAAAACAACAACAAAACUCACUAUUAAAUGCAAGCCCCCACACUACUAAUUUUUAAAAAAAAACACUACUAAAUGCAACAACCCCCCCCGCAAAGCCCACUACUAAAUGGGGAAAAAACCCACCACUAAAUGCACACACUCCACUAAUAAAUGCAAAAAAAAUUCACUACUAAAUGCAAUAAAACAGAAGAUAAAAUAGACAAGAAAAAGGAGCAUUCACAACUAAAAACUCAGUAUUCUAAACAAGAGUUAAAAAAACAACCACCAGCUCUGUUCACCAGCCAUUCUCAAUGAGCUCUGUUGGUACAUUACUCGUCAGGUUUUUUCACCCAUCAGGCAUCCUUUUUCACUUGUCACAGAUGGGUAGACUAGUGGAUUUUCUGAGCCCUGAUUCUAAACUUGGAUUGGAGAACAAUGGAAUUUUUCUUGGUGCAGAUCUCCUGACCUAGCUGCUUUGCGUGAGUAUUUGUUCAGUGGAUCUGAAAAAACUAUUAUCGUGAUGUUUGAAACUAACAUUUGUUAAAGAUUUGUGGUAAUGUUUUAUUUUGAAACAUGAAUUAUUUGAAAUGAUGAAAGAAUGUUAAUAUGCCUAUAUAUUCUCUUCUUACCCAGCAGGUUGACUUGUAUACAGUGCCAUGUGGAUUGUGGUUAAAUCCCUACAAAGAAGGAUAUUGCAAGAAAUCGGAAAUUUAUAAAAGUGUCUACUGAGAGAGGUAUAUAUUAACCUAUGUCUAAAUAUGCUUUUGAUUUUCUUUUCCCCUAGCAAUCAAUCAAUGUAUCGCGAUCCAUAGACCAGAAAAUUUUCCCCUAGCAGACUGAUUUACAUAGACGGCCAUGUGGACUGUGGGUAAAUCCCUACUUAGGAGGUUAUUUGAAGAAAUCCAAAGUGUAUAAAAGUGACUAAUAUCAAAGAGGUAUGUAUCAACGCCUAUUUAGAUGUUUUUACUCCCUUAUUAGGAUGUUAGAUAUACAGUUAAGGUGACUCUAUUUAAAAGUCUUCUGUCUGGAAGAUUUUCCUCUCAAAAGAGACUUGUGCAGACAGGUUGAAAGUUGCUCUUACAAUAAGUGAUGUAGGGACAUAGGAGCUGAAGUCCUAUGGUCAGGGUGAAGUGCUGGUAACCUCUCCCCUGUAGCCUCCAAAGAAAGAGGAGAACUUUCUGCAACUGGAAGAAAAAAGAUGAAGUCUGAAGAAAAGAUUCAUUGUGGAAGGAGCGGUCCGCUUGCCAUGGACUGUGAUGCUUUCUUGCUCCACGUUACUGAUAGCCAGUUUAGUUUAUUGUUACCUUUAAAUUGUUAUUCUGUAUGUGAGCAUUCUGUGCAUUCAUUAUUUCUGUAAAGCCUUUGUGUAGAACCCGGGUUCUUCUUUUUGUAAUGUAUUUUAAAUGUCUGGAAAUUU